AGCAGCCGCGGUAAUUCCAGCUCCAAUAGCGUAUAUUAAAGUUGUUGCAGUUAAAAAGCUCGUAGUUGAAUUUCGGGAUCAAUUCGUCGGUCGUGCUUUUUGGUACGUACUGGUGUUUAUUGGUUUCUCCCUUCUGACGAACCAUGAUGUCAUUAAUUUGGUGUUAUGGGGAGUUAGGACUGUUACUUUGAAAAAAUUAGAGUGUUUAAAGCAGGCAUUAGCUUGAAUACAUUAGCAUGGAAUAAUGAAAUAGGACGUUCGAUCCUAUUUUGUUGGUUUCUAGGAUCAACGUAAUGAUUAAUAGGGAUAGUUGGGGGCAUUAGUAUUCAAUUGUCAGAGGUGAAAUUCUUGGAUUUAUUGAAGACUAACUACUGCGAAAGCAUUUGCCAAGGAUGUUUUCAUUAAUCAAGAACGAAAGUUAGGGGAUCGAAGACGAUCAGAUACCGUCGUAGUCUUAACCAUAAACUAUGCCGACUAGGGAUCGGAUGAUGUUAAUUUUUUAAUGACUCAUUCGGCGCCU
rnacentral:ncRNA from 2 species